CAGAGCGAUGCGGCCCGCGUCGGUGCCGGCGUUUCAAGGAAAAAGAGCGAGGCAGUUUUCAUUUGCUGUUGCAAUUUCAACGCGAAACAUGGAAGAUGAGGCAGAUAGCAGCAAUGCAGGAUGAACAGCGCGGACGAUCAGUUCGACAUCUGUCUUGCCGCAUACAAACGACAGCGCGUACGUGCGCAGCGCAAGGCGUCCGCAGUGCUGCAAUCAUUGCAGGACCGAACAGCGAGCGGAUUUGCCGGCCAAGCGAACGGACUCCCACCGCGCCUGAUUAACAGCGUCAAUGGACCACCGCUCGACGAGGUCACAUCACUCAAGAGAAUGCACGUACCG
rnacentral:lncRNA from 1 species